CAGAGGUCUCAAGCGUUGUUCGGAUUCAUUGGGCGUAAAGGGUGCGUAGGCGGUGGGGCAAGUCAGGUGUGAAAUCCCGGAGCUCAACUCCGGAACUGCACUUGAUACUGCUUUACUCGAGUACUGGAGAGGAGACUGGAAUUUACGGUGUAGCAGUGAAAUGCGUAGAUAUCGUAAGGAAGACCAGUGGCGAAGGUGAGUCUCUGGACAGUUACUGACGCUGAGGCACGAAGGCCAGGGGAGCAAACGGGAUUAGAUACCCCGGUAGUCCUGGCAGUAAACGGUGCACGUUUGGUGUGGGAGGAUUCGACCCCUUCCGUGCCGGAGCUAACGCGUUAAACGUGCCGCCUGGGGAGUACGGUCGCAAGAUUA
rnacentral:rRNA from 1 species